GAGAAUUGAACGGUUGCUAGACUGGAUCUCAAGGACGUCCCUUCCCUCCGCCAUUUGAUCGAUAUCGUUUCUCGUUUGAGAUCAACAACCUCGUUGCACAAUCACAUGUCGUCGUUUCCUUUAAGAUCCUUAAUUACACCGUGGAUGUCUGAGAUGUUCGGAUCAAAUUCGCCACCGAAGUCAUAGAUACUCCUUUUCAUACGUGAUCGUCUUAUGCUACUUCCAAAUGUGAUACAUAUGAUAUGAUUUGGGGAAAAUUUUGCUGCUUCCACCGAAGUCAAUGAGAGAAAACGAGGGUUACUGCAAUGAUUUGGGGGAAAAGUAGCUUAGGUAAAAGUAAAUAAUGAGACGUAAUAUAUAUAUAUAUAUAGUUUUUAUUUAUGUAAAUGAAGAAAAAUUCAUAUCUUUUUAAAUUACAAAGAUAUCAUUUUCUUCUUUUGUUUUAAGAUUCUUACUAGUUUCCUUUUAAAAUAAUUUUCUAUAUUUUGCUACGGGAGAGAUAUUACGUAGCUAUUUAACUACGGAAUAAUUCGUAGAGACAUAACUACGGAUUUUGUUUUCGUAGUUAUUUUGCAAAUUCUAAAACCAGUCGUAUACACAAAUAACUAUGAGUAGCCUUUUCGUCACAAGUUUCAUGGUAGAUUAACUACACAAUUUUAUUGUGUAACAAAUUUUCAUAGCAAAAUAACUAUGGAUUUCAAUUUUGUAGCUAACUAGCUACAAAUUUUGAUUCCGUAGCGAAUUUUCUAGCCAAGUAUCUACGGAUAUGAAUUCUAUAACAAGUUCCGUAACGAAUUAGCUACAACCGAAAAUUAUGUAGCAUAUUUUAUAGUAAAAUAGUUACGAGUUUCGAUUUCGUAACAACUAUUCAUGAUUCAGCUACGUAAUGCAAUUCUGCAGUCAUUUUCGUAGCAAAUUACCUACGACCAAGAAUUUUGUAGCAUAUUUCAUAGUAGAAUAGCUACCAAUCUUGAUUCCAUAGAAACUUUACGUAACUAUUUAGGAUUUAGCUGCGGAAUGCAAUUUCGUAAUCGUUUCCGUAGCAUUAUAGCUACGACAAGUCAUUCCGUAACAUAUUCCGUAUUAAAAUUGCUACGGAUUUUGAUUCCGUAAAAAUUUUCCGUAGCUAUUCAUGAUUUUUCUUGUAGUGUUUAUAUCAAUCUGCAUAAAAUCUUGUGAUUUGUAUUAAUAUUAAUUAAUAAAUAUAUCACAACAAAGUAUAAUUAAGUCAAUUAUAGCAUUCUACUAUAACUUAUUUAAUUUAUUAAUGAUUUAUACAUUUUAGAUUAUAAUUUCAUGAACUUAUGACCAAUAUAAAGUAUGAUGCUAUUUUGUGUAUAAAACUUUGAAAAUCAUCAAAACUUUAAUAGACAAUCAUGUAUUCUCUCCGAAAUAUUAAAACUGUAAAAUAGGGGUCGUAGACACUCACAUUCGAUGUGUGAUCUCGAUCUAGUCUCGGUUUUGGUGAAGCUUCACGUGAAAAACCACAUCUGGACACCCUUUUGAGUUAAAACAAAGCAUGGGGCUAUUUUAUAAUAUUUGAAACCAAAAGUACUUGUUUUGAACUACUUACAUCAAAAGGGAUGAUUUGUAAUUUAUCUAACAUCAGGGAUUGUUUUGUGAUAAAUUAAAUCUAAAAGGAAUUACUUUUGUAAUAAUUCACAUUAAACGGAGCUGUUUUGGUCUUUUAGUACAAAAGAAGGGCUGAUUUGGUUAACAAUACAAAUAAUGGGGCUAUUGAUCAAACAAUUACAAGGGGUGGUUUUUGCUCUUUUAAAACAAGGAGAGGGGCAGAAGAAUGAACAAAGCAAGGAGGGCUAGGGAGGUCGAUCUCUGGUGACCUGUGUGGUUAAUCUUCGUCUUCACUGAUCGGGAUAGGAAAACACGAACAAAAGCAGCAAAACGAGGUGGCGUGUUGGAGGAUUAGAAAAUCGUGAGGAGGAAGCUAUGUCUCCGGUUCUUGUCUGAUCGGAGAAGAAAGAACAAUCGAACGAAAGCAGGGAAGAAUGAAGGCAACGAGGAUAAGUCACCCAUCUCCGGCGACCCUCUGAGGGUUUAUUUUUUUUUUUUUUUUAUUGAUCUGACAGAAAACGCAAAGAAGAGGGCAAGGCAGAUCGGAGAUAUCACAACAGAGAGAGGGUGUCUGUGGGUGGGGUAUUACGACAAAAGAGGGUUAAGGGGGGUGGUCACAGUUGAGAUUUAUGAAGAAGGAGGCGGAGGAGCUUUGUCUCAGCCGGAAUGGGAGUCGCCGGUAACCUCUUCCUUUCCGGUGAAGCUUGAAACGAUGAAGGGUAUUAGAGAGAAAAAGAGAUUUUUGAGAGAUAAAUGAAUUGUCAGGAAAAAUGGUAGUUACUUUUGAAGGGCAUCUAAAAUUCUCACAGACUAGAUAUUUUGGGUAAUAAUUCAAAUGAUAUAUAUUUCAUAUAUUUCAUCGGUUUCAAAAUUAUUGUACAUAUUAACGAAAUAUGAAUCACGUUAAUGUUAUAUAAUAAAAUGACAGUUUUGUCUUUAUUUUAUAUUUAAUGUUUUAUUAAAUUUUUAGUUAGUUAAAUAAUAAUUAUGAUAUUUUGGUAAAAAUGUUUUUAUUAUUCGAAGUGAAUUAUUACUUACAGACAAACCAAA
rnacentral:lncRNA from 1 species